CCUCGGUCGAGUGCGGUCGUGAGUUUGUUGAACAUUUGUGGACGCCUGUGAACUUUGAGUAGGUCGUGGUGAAUAUAAAUGAACUCUGUCCAUACCCUGAUAAAUAAACUAGUGAACAGCUGUAAGUUUACUGAAUACAGAUGAGAGAGAAGUGAUGAACAUUAAAUUCCAGUAAACCUAAAUGAACAUCCUAGAUCAACGUUCAAUUAUCGUGAACAGUAGUGUGAAGAGAUGAAUUAUGUACACUGUUGAACAUAGAGCAUUGAACAACACGUAUUAUAUGUAAAUGCAUAAAGAAAUAAUCCGUCUUUUGAACAAGUUUGAACUCUCUGCUUCUGGCUGCACCUAACUUAACUGAACUUUGUCUAAGUUUAAGUGAAUAACCUGAAAACUUUGACAAACUUUAAGCAUUUUCCUCUCCUUGGGUAAUAUCUCUCGAAAUCUGGUCAAAUUUGUGUUUGAACUUUGAACAGACUUGAGUGGUAUCUAUUCCUUCUAUCUCGUCGUGUUGAACGUGUGAACAGUUCUGUGUGAGUAAACUUUUGAACAUCUGAACAUAUUUGUGAACUUUUGAACCACUAAGAUCCCUGCGUAAGAAAGUUAACAGAACAGCUGAACAGUUUUGUGCAAGAGAGUAAACUUCUGAACAGUUCUGAACAGGAGAGUGAACAUUGAACAUCUUGAAGGAGUGUGAACAGGCAAGAAGCUGUGACGGCUGAACAACACAAAGUGUGUGCAGGUGUGUCCAACAGGUGUGGGCAGACGGCAGUGAUGUGGAGGACGGUGUGGGUGAGUUAGACCUCUCUGAGCAGCCCACGUCAGCCCACGACAACUCAAGUCAUCUCUAUCUCAGCUAGACCCAAGCCCACGACACCCCACAUCAUCCCACACUACCCUUCGUCAGCCCACGUCAGUCCCAGGCCAACUAGACCCCAACUCAGCCCAUCUCACCAUAACCCGUCAUCAACAACACAUGCACCAGCCCACUGUCUAAAGCCCAUGACCUCUCUGAAGCGGGGAGAGGCAGUGAGAGGUGAGGGGUGGUGAGCGGUGAGG